CUUACAAAUACUGGCAUGUUCUUUUAUUUUUUUACAAAAUAGCCUCGCCUCGCAUUGGACCUCGCGGCCUCCGUCCUCUGGAGUCCACGAGGACGAAGCGAAAUGCAUAUAACAUACUGAGUGCGUUAAGCGGAAGAGCUCCACAUCAUGGCGGACAUUAUCUCCAAUAUGAAGGUGGAGAGACAACCACAUCUCAGAUGGUAUUCGGAAGAAUGAUAAGGUGGGAUGAAGCCGACACUUCACAGUGCAGCGGGCACAUCCAUGUCGAUCUCCAAGCAAGCUCUGAUAUUCAUGGAGAGGACAGAGACGCAACUGUGUCUGCAUCCAGGACCUACUCUGAGUCAUUCAGAUGAUAAAGAAAGUAGCUGGUAAGAUUUUUUGAAUCUAGGGCUGUUAAAGCUUUUUUUUUUUUUUUUUUACCAACAACUGACAUUAUGCUGCAUAAAAUAAAAGGUA